rnacentral:rRNA from 1 species
GACGAACGCUGGCGGCGUGCCUAAUACAUGCAAGUCGAACGCUUCUUUCCUCCCGAGUGCUUGCACUCAAUUGGAAAGAGGAGUGGCGGACGGGUGAGUAACACGUGGGUAACCUACCCAUCAGAGGGGGAUAACACUUGGAAACAGGUGCUAAUACCGCAUAACAGUUUAUGCCGCAUGGCAUAAGAGUGAAAGGCGCUUUCGGGUGUCGCUGAUGGAUGGACCCGCGGUGCAUUAGCUAGUUGGUGAGGUAACGGCUCACCAAGGCCACGAUGCAUAGCCGACCUGAGAGAGUGAUCGGCCACACGGGGACUGAGACACGGCCCAGACUCCUACGGGAGGCAGCAGUAGGGAAUCUUCGGCAAUGGACGAAAGUCUGACCGAGCAACGCCGCGUGAGUGAAGAAGGUUUUCGGAUCGUAAAACUCUGUUGUUAGAGAAGAACAAGGACGUUAGUAACUGAACGUCCCCUGACGGUAUCUAACCAGAAAGCCACGGCUAACUACGUG